rnacentral:rRNA from 1 species
UUAGAAAGUCCUAAAUACUCUGAAGGCACCAGAUCCCAUCUAAAUCUUAGAAGCUGAGCUGGGUCAAGUCUGAUUAGUUCUUGGAUGGGAGAUCAGCAAACAAUAUCAGAUACAAUCUAAA